AGAGUUUGAUCCUGGCUCAGGACGAACGCUGGCGGCGUGCCUAAUGCAUGCAAGUCGCACGCGGGUUCUUUCGAGGACCUGAGUGGCGCACGGCUGAGUAACACGUGGGUAACCUGCCCCGGUGUGGGGGACAACGGACCGAAAGGUGCGCUAAUCCCGCAUACGCUCUUCGGAGGAAAGACGCAAAUCGCACCGGGAGGGGCCUGCGGCCCAUCAGGUAGUUGGUGUGGUAAGAGCACACCAAGCCGAUGACGGGUACCUGGUCUGAGAGGACGAUCAGGCAGACUGGGACUGAGACACGGCCCAGACUCCUACGGGAGGCAGCAGCAAGGAAUUUUCCGCAAUGGGCGCAAGCCUGACGGAGCAACGCCGCGUGCCGGAAGACGGCUUUCGGGUUGUAAACGGCUUUUGUCGGGGAAGAGAUGGACGGUACCCGACGAAUAAGCCCCGGCUAACUCCGUGCCA
rnacentral:rRNA from 1 species